rnacentral:rRNA from 1 species
UGACUGAGCGGCGGACGGGUGAGUAACGCGUGGGCAACCUGCCUUACACAGGGGGAUAACAGUUAGAAAUGACUGCUAAUACCGCAUAAGACCACAGGACUGCAUGGUCCGGUGGUAAAAACUCCGGUGGUGUAAGAUGGGCCCGCGUCUGAUUAGGUAGUUGGCGGGGUAACGGCCCACCAAGCCGACGAUCAGUAGCCGACCUGAGAGGGUGACCGGCCACAUUGGGACUGAGACACGGCCCAGACUCCUACGGGAGGCAGCAG